AUUGAACGCUGGCGGCAGGCCUAACACAUGCAAGUCGAGCGGAAACGAAGGGAGCUUGCUCCCAGGCGUCGAGCGGCGGACGGGUGAGUAACACGUGAGAAUCUGCCCAUUAGUGGGGGGCAACUCGGGGAAACUCGAGCUAAUACCGCAUAAUCCCUACGGGGGAAAGCAGGGGACCUUUUGGCCUUGCGCUGAUGGAUGAGCUUACGUCGGAUUAGCUUGUUGGUGAGGUAAAGGCUCACCAAGGCGACGAUCCGUAGCUGGUCUGAGAGGAUGAUCAGCCACACUGGGACUGAGACACGGCCCAGACUCCUACGGGAGGCAGCAGUGGGGAACCUUGGACAAUGGGGGCAACCCUGAUCCAGCCAUGCCGCGUGGGUGAAGAAGGCCUUCGGGUUGUAAAGCACUUUCAGCAGGGAGGAAGGCUUUGGCCGAAUAGGUUGAAGUACUUGACGUUACCUGCAGAAGAAGCACCGGCUAAUUUCGUGCCAGCCGCCGCCGUAA
rnacentral:rRNA from 1 species